rnacentral:rRNA from 1 species
GACGAACGCUGGCGGCGUGCUUAACACAUGCAAGUCGAACGAAGAGCGAUGGAAGCUUGCUUCUAUCAAUCUUAGUGGCGAACGGGUGAGUAACGCGUAAUCAACCUGCCCUUCAGAGGGGGACAACAGUUGGAAACGACUGCUAAUACCGCAUACGAUCUAAUCUCGGCAUCGAGGUUAGAUGAAAGGUGGCCUCUACAUGUAAGCUAUCACUGAAGGAGGGGAUUGCGUCUGAUUAGCUAGUUGGAGGGGUAACGGCCCACCAAGGCGAUGAUCAGUAGCCGGUCUGAGAGGAUGAACGGCCACAUUGGGACUGAGACACGGCCCAGACUCCUACGGGAGGCAGCAGUGGGGAAUCUUCCGCAAUGGACGAAAGUCUGACGGAGCAACGCCGCGUGAGCGAUGACGGCCUUCGGGUUGUAAAGCUCUGUUAAUCGGGACGAAAGGCCUUCUUGCGAAUAGUGAGAAGGAUUGACGGUACCGGAAUAGAAAGCCACGGCUAACUACGUG